rnacentral:rRNA from 5 species
GGAUACCCGCUGAACUUA